CCGCGAGUAAUGCUGGAGCGUUUAGAAAAGAAAAUGUAGGCAUAAGUAACGAUAAUUUGGGUGAAAAACCCAGACGCCGUAAGACUAAGGGUUCCUGAUCAACGCUAAUCGGAUCAGGGUUAGUCGGGUCCUUAGGCAAAGCCGAAAGGCGUAGCUGAUGGCAAAAUGGUGAAUAUUCCAUUACCUGCUAUAACUUCGAUGGAGUAACGGAGUAGUGAAAGGACUGCGCACUUACGGAAUAGUGCGUUAAAGGGUGUAGUUAUAUUUUGUGUAGGUAAAUCCGCACGGGAUGAUGAACCUGAUAGUACAACAAAGCUUCGGCCGCGUUGAUAAUGUCCCUAAUCAGACUUCCAAGAAAAACUUCUAAGGUUCGGUUAUAGCAGCCCGUACCGUAAACCGACACAGGUAGUCGAGGAGAGUAUCCUCAGGCGCUCGAGUGAUCCGUGGUAAAGGAACUAGGCAAAUUGACGCUGUAACUUCGGGAUAAGGCGUACUGCAGUAAUGCAGUCUCAGUAAAAUGGUCCAACCAACUGUUUAACAAAAACACAGGGCCCUGCAAAAUCGAAAGAUGACGUAUAGAGCCUGAUACCUGCCCGGUGCUGGAAGGUUAAGGAAGGAUGUCCGGCGCAAGCCAAAGCUUCUGACUGAAGCCCCAGUAAACGGCGGCCGUAACAAUAACGGUCCUAAGGUAGCGAAAUUCCUUGUCGGGUAAGUUCCGACCUGCACGAAUGGUCUAAUGAGUUGGACACUGUCUCUACCACGAGCUCGGUGAAAUUGUAGUAUCGGUGAAGAUGCCGGUUAAUCGCAACGGGACGGAAAGACCCCGUGAACCUUCACUACAACUUAACAUUGAUUUUGAACCACAGAUGUGUAGGAUAGUUGGGAGACUAUGAAGCAGCUUCGCCAGGAGUUGUGGAGUCAACGUUGAAAUACCAACCUUCUGUUGUUUAGAGUCUAACACCUCACGGUGGACAUUGUUUGGUGGGUAGUUUGACUGGGGUGGUCGCCUCCUAAAAAGUAACGGAGGCUCGCAAAGGUACCCUCAGUACGGUUGGUAAUCGUACGCAGAGCGCAUUAGUAAAAGGGUGCUUGACUGUGAGGCAAACAAGCCGAGCAGGAGCGAAAGCUGGCUAAAGUGAUCCGGUGAUUCUGCAUGGAAGGGUCAUCGCUCAAAGGAUAAAAGGUACUCCGGAUAACAGGCUGAUCUCCCCCAAGAGCUCAUAUCGACGGGGAGGUUUGGCACCUCGAUGUCGGUUCGUCACAUCCUGGGGCUGGAGAAGGUCCCAAGGGUUCGGCUGUUCGCCGAUUAAAGUGGCACGUGAACUGGGUUCAGAACGUCGCAAGACAUUUCGGUCCCUAUCUGUUGUGAUCGUUAGUAAAUUGCGAGGACAUGACCUUAGUACGAGAGGACCGGGUCGUACAUACCGCUGGUGUAUCAGUUGUGCCGCCAGGUGCAAUGCUGAGUAGCUAUGUAUGGACAGGAUAAACGCUGAAAGCAUCUAAGCGUGAAACCAACCUCAAGAUGAGUUUACUUUUAAGGGCCGUCGGAGACUACGACGUUGAUAGGCUACAGGUGUAAGGGUGGUAACAUCGAAGCCGAGUAGUACUAAUUGCCCGUAAGCUUUAAUG
rnacentral:rRNA from 1 species